rnacentral:snRNA from 2 species
GAUUUUUGUCCAGAUCCCUUUGGCAGCAGAACGCUACAGAGAAGAUUAGCAUGGCCCUGGGCAAGGACGCCAUGCAAAUUUGUGAAGUAUUCCUUUUUUUU